rnacentral:lncRNA from 10 species
CUUACUUUCAAUUUUUCCAAUGCAGAAGUUCCGCAAAUUUCAUCUAAAUCGUCAGUGUGGGGAGGAUUUCAAAGCAGGGACUCAACUUUUGGGCACUUUUAUAGCCAUGAUUUCAACAACUGAUACUUUGAAAUUUAAGUCCAAACCUGAACUUAUACAGGUAGAAUAUUGCUUUGUGUCCUUUUUAUAUAGUACAACUUCCACUCUGUUUAUAUAGACUUAUAUUAUACAAAUCCUUCCAUUGAUAACUUCUGGCACAAUUUUACAAUAAUAUAUGGAUUAUGUGUUAACCCAUGAACACUAAUUUUUAAAGCAAUAUAGCCACUAUUGAUGUUUAAAAUGUGCUGUUUUUUAAUGUAAACUCAGUUUAAUACAUGAUCACAAAUAUACAAAGACAAAAGUUUUAUGUAAACACCAAAUAUGGGAUAAAGAUAUUUAAAAUGUAAGCAUUACAGUGGCAUGUGGUGUUUUUGAUGUAAUUUUUCAUAAAUAAGAAAAAUAAGAAUUAACAUUAGCACAUGCCAAAUUAAUCUAUAUAUAUCAUUAAAUAGCAAUCAAUUCAAAGGCAAGCUCUUCUAAAGUGCUUCUAAGUUUCACCCACUCAUGCCUCUAACAUUUCUUUUCCUGUUACUAAGUUUAACAAAGAGAAAAGAUGCUGAAAUACGAAAGAAAAAAGGGGAAUUUUUGACAUUAAACGACUGAACCUCAUUUUUUUCUGUCAAUAUAAGCAUAGAUCUCCAUCUUAAUCUUGUUAUCAUAGAAAAUCAGAUGAUUGUAAAACUAAGUAAAAAGUGUGAAAAGAUAAAUACAGUAUUAAACUCAGUGAAGGAGGAAUUUAUUUGAUCUUAUAUGAAGCUAGUUAUUAGUGAAAACGUAACAGGUUAGACUAGAAAACAAUGCUCCGUACAUUUACCUAGCCCUUUGAGGUUUAAUUCAUGUGUUCUACAUAGAUCUACAUACACUUUAAUACAUCUACAUAGGUGGUCUACACAUGUCUACAUAUAUGAUUUCAGAAUCAUCAUUUGUACAGUAUUGUACAAAUUACCAGUAUUUUAGAUGCUCUAGAGACUAAGAUGCUAAUUAGAAGUGAAAAAUUAGGGGUUAUUUUCAAUUCCGAUACUAUUUGCCCUCCUUGGGGGAAUUGUUUAAACCCAGUCUCAUAUUUUUCUAACUGCAAAAUGCCUUUCCCCAAAUUAGAAGAUGUCUGAGAGUGAAUAAUGUUUGUUUUUACCUCCAUGGAGAGAAACAUCAUAGAUACAUGGCUAAAAGUUUAAAAUAUCACCAAUGAUACAGUAUUCAAGUUGAAAGUUUCACAAAGUAAAGGGACAAAGGUGACAUCCAUUUCAGCUUUUUCUCUUUCCUUGAAUUUUUGAUUUAUAUGACUCAAAAGGUUAAUCUUAGUAAAGCACAGGGAAAAGAUAGUUAUCCAAGUGACAUUUUCAGACAUUCUACAGGUAUGAUAUAUUAAAGGAUGCAUUUAGGAGUCCAAGGAAUAUUGGAAAAUACCACACAUAGACAGUUUUAACAUUGCUGCCUUCUUGUCAAAGGUACAAAAUGAUCAACAUGGAAAGGCAUCAUUUACAGUCAGAAUUUGACUGGAAGGGAUUGUAAAGAACAAUAAUUUCAAUUCUGUUAUUUUUAACCCAGAGUUAUUGGGCAGCAAUUCUCUAACUGGUAAUGAUUUUCCAAAUUAUAAUUAAGUACACAUGAAUGAAAUAAAUCCAAUGGGGUGGGAGGGGGAAAGUUGAUUAAGAUGUUGUCUUCAAGGAAACUAAAGCCUUGUGAGGCAGACAUAUUUAAACAUGUAAAUAGUGCAAGGCAGAAUAAAGUAAUUGCCAUUUAGAAGUUCAAAGUGCUUUGAGAGCCCAUAGGAAGAAGUAAUUAAUUCUGACUUGUACAGUGGGGAAAGCUCCAUGAAAAAGAGCUUUUGAAAAGGGCCUUGAAAGAGAUGUAGUAAUUUGGUGGGUAGAGGAAGAGAAGACAUUCCAUGCUGAGGCAGGGACAUCAUCUUAGGCCUCUAAGAGCUGGACAGAAAAGCCAUAGCUUAUAUAUUUUAACUAGAAAUUUGUAUAACAGUAGAGUGAUAAUGUUAAGACUGAUAUUUGUAUUUUCAUAUGUAUAUAAAUUUAUCUAGGAUUUUUGGAAUUCUGGAAAAAUUCUUUGGAAUACUUACUGCAAAAUAGUUUCCCUUGUCUUUUAACACUUGUAUGUUUUAGGUUUAAAUCAUGUUUACUAACAAUUUAGUUUUUAAUCCAUUAUUAUAUGUAUCUAAAUAAUGUGUAUAACUUCACUUCUUAUAUAUAAGUAUUUUCUAGUUUAUUUGAUUAUGUGAUAUAUGUGUACACAAAGUGGGCCUUGUUUUCCUAAGAAAUCUGAGAUGCUUUUCACCCAGUUGCUGGAGUUGAAACUUUCUGGUAAGGAAGCAAUAAAAUAGGCAUCAACUUCAUUGCAUGCUAUUUAAAUAAAAUAUAAAGUUAUUUAUAUUUAAAUACAUUUAAAUAAAGUUAUUUAUAUUUAAAUAAAAUAUAGAGUUAAACCUAAGGCCAAACUCUAGCAUCUUAUAAUAUUCUUCUGAACAAUGAGGUCUAGAACUUUUACCCCCUUUAGUUAUCUUCAGUGGGAGAACAGGAGAAGAAACAGCCUUUUCUUUUUUAAUCUUUAGAAUCAUUGGAAAGAAUGUUUAUACCAAAUACAUACUGGCAUCAUUAUUUUAAGUAUUAUAUACAUGUUUGGGAAACAAGGAGCCAAUGUUUCAUUCAUUUACUUUAUUAAUAGUUAUUUUAAGUGGAAAACAUUGCAUUAAGAUAUAGUUGGUAUCUGAAUAAUAUAUUUGUCCAAGGGAAUGAAGGACCUCAUUAUUUUAAAGUGUUUCUUCUUAUAGCUACUACUAAAGCUACUUCUACCUACAUUUUAUUGGCCAUUAUUUUUAAAGAGGAAUCAUAAAGUAAAUUCAUUUGUUUUUAUUUUUCUUUUUUUAACCUACAAAUUUUCAGUGUAUAUUCCUAAUAUUACAAUAAGGAAAUUCAAUGUAAUUACCAAGAACCAUGAAAAAAUAACUAUUACUCUUUAUGGCUGCACAAUCCAAAGCCCAUCUCAGGGCUCAGGUUGAAAUUUUAAAUGCCUGGCCUGCCUGGUAAUGGGAUGGGAUCCUGUGGUUGACGCUGUGGACAAACUGAGGAAGCAGGUUCCUGGGCCAACAAGAACCGAAAGGCAACAGGCAAGCUACUGAAGGCUCUGCUGUGAGGCAUUCGGCAUCACAGGAUGGAAACUGGAGCCCUCAGACAAGAGCAGAGAGGUGAUGACCAUGAGGAGUCAGAGCCUGGAGAGAUCCCUGAACCACUUGGGACCCU